AGGUAAGCUACUAAGAGCGAAUGGUGGAUGCCUUGACUGGUAAAGGCGAUGAAGGACGUACUAGACUGCGAUAAGCUACGGGGAGCUGUCAAGAAGCUUUGAUCCGUAGAUUUCCGAAUGGGGCAACCCAAUGUAUAGAGAUAUACAUUACCUAUAUAGGAGCGAACGAGGGGAAUUGAAACAUCUUAGUACCCUCAGGAAAAGAAAUCAAUAGAGAUUGCGUCAGUAGCGGCGAGCGAAAGCGCAAGAGGGCAAACCCAGUGCUUGCACUGGGGGUUGUAGGACUGCAAUGUGCAAGAGGUAAGUUUAGCAGAACAUUCUGGAAAGUAUAACCAUAGAGGGUGAUAGUCCCGUAUGCGAAAAACAAACCUUAGCUAGCAGUAUCCUGAGUAGGGCGGGACACGAGGAAUCCUGUCUGAAUCCGGGUCGACCACGAUCCAACCCUAAAUACUAAUACCAGAUCGAUAGUGCACAAGUACCGUGAGGGAAAGGUGAAAAGAACUGAGGUGAUCAGAGUGAAAUAGAACCUGAAACCAUUUGCUUACAAUCAUUCAGAGCCCUAUGUAGCAAUACAGGGUGAUGGACUGCCUUUUGCAUAAUGAGCCUGCGAGUUGUGGUGUCUGGCAAGGUUAAGCAAACGCGAAGCCGUAGCGAAAGCGAGUCUGAAUAGGGCGCUUAGUCAGAUGCUGCAGACCCGAAACGAAGUGAUCUAUCCAUGAGCAAGUUGAAGCUAGUGUAAGAACUAGUGGAGGACUGAACCCAUAGGCGUUGAAAAGCCCCGGGAUGACUUGUGGAUAGGGGUGAAAGGCCAAUCAAACUUCGUGAUAGCUGGUUCUCUCCGAAAUAUAUUUAGGUAUAGCGUUGUGUCGUAAUAUAAGGGGGUAGAGCACUGAAUGGGCUAGGGCAUACACCAAUGUACCAAACCCUAUCAAACUCCGAAUACCUUAUAUGUAAUCACAGCAGUCAGGCGGCGAGUGAUAAAAUCCGUCGUCAAGAGGGAAACAACCCAGACUACCAGCUAAGGUCCCUAAAUCUUACUUAAGUGGAAAACGAUGUGAAGUUACUUAAACAACCAGGAGGUUGGCUUAGAAGCAGCCAUCCUUUAAAGAAAGCGUAAUAGCUCACUGGUCUAGUGAUUUUGCGCGGAAAAUAUAACGGGGCUAAAGUAAGUACCGAAGCUGUAGACUUAGUUUACUAAGUGGUAGGAGAGCGUUCUAUUUGCGUCGAAGGUAUACCGGUAAGGAGUGCUGGAGCGAAUAGAAGUGAGCAUGCAGGCAUGAGUAGCGAUAAUUAAUGUGAGAAUCAUUAACGCCGUAAACCCAAGGUUUCCUACGCGAUGCUCGUCAUCGUAGGGUUAGUCGGGUCCUAAGUCGAGUCCGAAAGGGGUAGACGAUGGCAAAUUGGUUAAUAUUCCAAUACCAACAUUAGUGUGCGAUGGAAGGACGCUUAGGGCUAAGGGGGCUAGCGGAUGGAAGUGCUAGUCUAAGGUCGUAGGAGGUUAUAUAGGCAAAUCCGUAUAACAAUACUCCGAGAACUGAAAGGCUUUUUGAAGUCUUCGGAUGGAUAGAAGAACCCCUGAUGC
rnacentral:rRNA from 1 species